CCUCCCUGCCCCCCCACCUAGCUCCGGGUCCAUAAUUCUGUUCUCUGUGUCUGCGAUGGAGGAGGUUCUUGCACUCAGCUCCUCCUGACUUUUCAGAGCUAGGCCAGGUGGUGAUGGGGGGAAGGAGGAAGGGUACUGCAGGUGAAGAGCGAGAUGAGAUGUGUGAGACGUGGGUGCUGAGAUACAGCGAGUGGUCUUGGUUCCCCUGUUUCUCUCCCAGGCGUGGCCCUUCCGUCCCGCUGGUACCCUUGUGCUACUGGUGCAGAGCCUGGCCCAGGGCAGCCGCUCACUGCUCACCCGUGUAGACCGGGGACACAAGCCUCACAGGAUCCACCAUGAAGCCAUGGGGAGCAGGCCUUCUGCUGCUGCUGUGGUUCGCCUUGACUCAGGCCCCGGGUGUCAGCCAGGUGUGAGGGGCGGGGAAGGCAUUUUGGCCAUGUCAUGGUCUCAUGGCCCAGAAGCUGGCAACAAGGAGGAAAGGACGUGGUGGGAACCGCCUAGGCCUGGCUCCAGCUCCCUGAGUCAGGAGGACUCCCCGGAGGCUCCGGUGGGAUCUCGUUCUGACCUCUCCACCUGACUGGCUCUAGUGGCCGGGGCAGGCCUGGCCUCUGCCUGAUUAGAGGCCCAGGCUGCGUCACCCUCCAAGGCGUCCCAGCCAUUCUCCUUGGCUGGAGUGGUUUUCAGAGCUGGAAAGGACGUGGGAGACCUUCAUCUCGGCCCUCUUUGACCUGUGAGGAAACAGACCCAGAGCGGAGACGUGAGGUGCUCAUGGUGCUUCGGCCAGUGACAGCCGCGAGCAGGCCUUGUCACUCUGGGUCCAGUGCCCCUUCCUGGCCUUGUGAGUGGGGGCGGGGACGCUGCCCAUGACUCCAGAAGGGGUCCACCCUCCCCCACCACAAGGUGGUCCUUUCCCACCACCCCAAGGUCUACAACUGUCCCCUGCCUACCCUAAACCUCCCCUCCCAUCCCCUCCAUUUGCUCACUUACUCUCUUGUCAGUGGAGAGAUUACUUUGCCAGGGCAGUAGUUGUACAGGGAAGUUUUUUCUCCCCUGAGAGGAGGGCUGGGCUGAGGCUGCUGAUUAUUCGGUGUCAGGCCUGCAGGUUGUGGUAUUAAGUCACCCAACACCUUAGAAAGCCACCCCCGCCCAGUUGUGUUCCUUUUUGACAGCAGGGCACUUCCCUUAAAUGUGGCUUAGCUUUACCAGCGGGUUGGCCAGAUAAGGCCCUCUUUAUUCCUGGUGCUGUUACUAGAAUGAUGAAUCGGCAGACCUGCCGUGACUAGUGUCAAGCCAGAUCUGUGUAGGUCGUUAUGGCUCAUUAAGGUAUUGACAUUGAUAUUCCUGAGAAACAUUCCUCAGCCUGGACUCUCCCAGCACCUGACUGGCCCCAGUGUCCCUCUCCCCCUCGGGCUGGGGCUGGUAAGAAGAGGCACCGGGUUUCCAUUUCCUGGAGGAACAGGGAAUCAAGGCAUAAAGAGAAGAGUAGCAGGCUUCCAGGAGCCAGGAGCUGAGAACUCCCACGCAUCGGCACCGCCGCCCCCCAGCCCCGACCUCGGCCUUCCCCAUUACUAGCACCCUCCCCACCCCGUCCCCUCUGAGUUUCCUGGCUGAACAGAGCAGCUCUCUGUUGUGUCCUGGGCCCUCUCGAGACCAGCAGAGAGGCUCAAAUCCUGGGUUCAGAUCCCAUAUUCACCACUGAUUAAUUGUGUGCCUUGGGCACAGUUAUCUGAUCUCUGUUUUACAGUCUGAGAAAGCAGGUCUAGAGCUAAAUACCUUCUUCCUUUUUCAUAGUGGAGUUGUGCACAUAAAACUACAUAAAUAAGGCAUACAAUAACCUGACCUGCUAGAUAUCAUCAUCUGAGUAAGGGCUGAGUCUGUGAUAUUGACCAGCCCUUGUGUGUUGCAGAAAAUGGUAUGUAUCUAGAAGAGGAAACUGUUUUAACCAUUCUCUCUCUCAUGGGGAAGGUUGUGAUCAGAAGUGAAGUGAAAUUCACUCAGUCGUGUCCAAUUCUUUGCAACCUCAUGGACUGUAUCCAUGGAAUUCUCCAGGCCAGGAUACUGAAGCAGAUUCUUUACCUGCUGAGCCACCAGGGAAGCCCUCUGUGAUCAGAGCAAACAGCAAAAACGCCAAGGCAGCGUCCUGACCCUGAUCUAAUUGACUUGCUGACUCUCUUGAGAACAGCUGCAUCUUUCCUGGGGGUCUCCCGGAAGUAAAUGACCAGAGCCCUAGGUAUAGAGCUGAAGAAGCUGAGCCUGGAAUGUGCUAGAUGACUCUACGGGGUGACCUGUGCUUCUUACACUUUGCUGGGCCUCCCUUGGGCAGGAGAGGUGCCAUAGAAAGGAGCUCUAGGGUGCUCUGUCUGUGAUCCAGGGCAUGAUCCCAUCCCUGGGCAGUUUGCUUCUCUUGCUCCUGCAGGUUACGGGCAUUAACUUUACUCCAUACCUGAACCUGAGGAUAGAAUGCGGCUGGGAGAUGUUCCAGCCCUGGAGUGGCCCUUGUGUGCUAAGUUGCUCAGUCAUGUCUGACUCUUUUCAACCCCAUGGA